rnacentral:lncRNA from 1 species
GUAAUCUAAUUGAUUGUCUCUAUAGUAGAGAUGAUAUGGUAAUGUUAACUGUUUAGAAUAUAAUGAUGCUUAAAACCCAAAAGGUUGCAAGGUAGUGACUAAUCCUAACUAAGUUGUGAUUCCUCUAAAAACAUAAAUUACGAGUUGGUAAUAAAUGGACGCUUUGGAUCGUUAGAUCCGGAUCCAAUACCUUCUUGUUAAAAUUGUAUAGAGGCGAAAUGUUUGAAUCUUUAUUCUUUUGGAAAGAAGAAAGAAUCACAAAGUUAUUGAGGUUAAUUCACUUAGAUGUUAGUGGCACUUGUCCACAAACAUAAUACUACUCAUGUUGGAUGACAUUCACCGAAGAUCACCCUUGGUUGGACUAUAGUUUAUUUUAAAUAAACACAAGUCCGAAUACUUUGCAAAAUGUUUCAAAGAAUUCAAGAAAUGUAAGUUGAUGAGUAAGACAUCUAAAGUAUUUACCUCCUUGGAUUUGAUCCAAGGAAAGGUAACACUUUAGAAUAGUUUCCUUGAAAGAUAUCAAGGAAAUAGCAUCAUAAGAUAAUGUAUUUCUCCAUUAGGAGAAGAACGAACUUGAAUAAGAUUUAGUUCGUUAGAUGUUAUCUAUUACCCAUAUAUAGGAUAUAUACUUCUAAAACAAUAUGAUUGUCAAUUAGAAGAUCUUCCAAGAUUUUCAUGACUCCAUAAGAUGUAGUUGGAAAGAAAGACAAAUCUUAAGCAUGUUAAGAUUUGGGGUUGUGUGCUUAUAAGCAAUAUUUGUUUGAUAAUAAUCUUGUGGGAUAUCCUUAAAUUAACUUUUGGAUAUCGCUUCUAUAAACCAACUAACAAAUGUUGUUUUGUUGGGUAGUUCAUUGUAAUCAUACAAUGUGAUUUGCCUAAAAGCAAAUAAACGAGAGAUAGAACUCAAAGAAUGGGUUCUUUGAGAGACAAGAAAGUAAUCAACAAAUAUAAACAACCUAGUUCCUAUACCAAAAGCUCCAAGGUAGUCGAUAAGGAUUUAUAAACCGUCUCAGUUGAAUGGUUUGAACUUUAUGACUAUGUCAUAGAGUUGCACCUCUUAAUUCGAAAGAAAUAAGAAUGAAAAUCCUUAUGACUACAAUGAGUGUAUAUAUAUGAUAUAUAUACUCAAGGAAAUGGUAAAAGUACCAUUUGACUCGAAAUAAUGAAACCUUCAAAGCUAAUUGGUAGCUUAAGGUGACUACAAUCAAAGAGAAUGGUUGACUUUGAAGGAACCAUUUUUGACGUAGUAGUCUUAGUUUCAAUUAAUUCGAAGAUUGCUAGCUACAACUAAAUGGUGAUUCAAUGUUUGGACAUAAUAUAGGUUUCCGAAACCAUUAUUAAGAUAGUCUUGAUAAUAUAUGUCUAAAACUAUGAAUCACAAGACAUGUAAGUUGUAGAGAUCCAUCCAUCAUGGAUCUUAGCAAGCUAGUGGGAGCUAUAAGCGUCUUAUGAGAGAAAGGUCAAAUCGUUUGAUUUCUCAUAAAGAUGUAAAUGAAUCUUUUGUUUACUAGGUUUACAAAAGAUUAGUGGGAGUUAAUCAUAUUCCUAAAUUUGUAUAUAUAUAUAUAUAAAUAUAAAUAUAUAUGUGAUAUGUAUGAAUAUAUAUAUGAUAUAUCAAUUUUGGAAGUGAAAAGAAUAUUUCUUCAUUAAAGUUAUGACUUUAAGCAUUCUAUAACGAUAGAAUGUAUAUGGGAGACAUAGUCUAUAUACAUGGGAUGGAAAUCUAUAUUGAUAGAUUUCAAGAUAUAAUUUGAUUAUAUCAAUCCCUAAUAAUAGACAAAAGUUGCUAGGAAGUUUCUCAUAUGAUGAUAAACUUCAAUUAGAAGGAUGACUAGUGUGACUAGCAAGUUGCCCUUCUCAAAGGGAACGUGCCCCUUUGACUCCUAAAGAAAUAAUGCGUAAAUAGAAUCUUUUAUGCAUACGCACAAAGGUGAUUUAUGUAUUUCAUAUUGUAUGAAAAACAUUGAUAUGAGUUGUACCUAGAACGGUACAAAACGAUAUCAAUGCAAGCCCAGGAUCAGAACCAUGGCAACUGUCAAGUGAGUCCUUAAGUAUUUAAGAAAUACUGAAGGAUAGAUUCCUCAAAGAAUGAGGAAGAAUUAGAGUAACGUAAUGGAAGCGUAAAUGUAUUAGAUUAUGAAUCUAAUCCAUUAUUGGAUGUUUCUUCAUUAUGAAUGAAGAGAUAAACAGAUAUCUCUUUAUUAUGACUAAAGAGAUAUUUGGAUGGAAACAUUAAAGUAAUGACUUUAGUGUGUUCUAUUAUGAAUGCAAAAUAUAUUGCCAUAUAGAAGUUUACAACAAUGUUGUUUGGAUGGGAAAGUUCAUUUAUGAACUCUCUAUUCGGUUCCAACCAGAAAAUGUAUCUAGUGUACUGACACUAUGACACUAAUGGGGCGAUAGCUCAAGCCAGGGAAUCAAGGUCUCAUCAAGGUCCGAACUCAAAUGAGAGACUGAACCACAUGAUUGAGAAUCAUGUAUAAUGGUGACGUCGUUAUUCUCAAGGUUGCUUCUAUGGAUAACAUAUAGAUAUCCAUUGCCUAGGCCUACUACUCAGCCAUUUAUGAAAUGACUACAGAAGAGGUAUCAUCACUGAUGACCAAGCUGAUUGGCUCUAGUGCAAGUGGGAGAUUGUUGGAAAUGUGCCCUAAAUCCAAUCAUAUGAUGAUACUUUAUGGACAUUUCACAUGUUAAACUAAUCUAGUUUAACUAUAAAAGGCAAAGAUUAUUGUUUGAGCCGUCUCAUAUAAAUGUUAUAUGCUUAAACGAUAAAGUCCAAGGAAUAUGUGAUUGGGAGAAUGUAAUCUAAUGAAGUUAGAUUCAUGAGACCAUUCUUUCGUAGACACAUCCUAAAUGUUCCUGAUCAUAGGAUUGCCAAUUGGGCAUUGACAGUCCGUCAAGAUCGGUACGUGCUAUGUCUUCUCUCAGGGAGAGUGACUAGUCUCGAGUCAUUGGUGUGUGUGACAUCAAGACAAGUACGUAGGUGCUCAGUAGAGAAUGAGUUCACUGAACGCGAUCAACGAAGAGUUCUCAUACUCAUGUCACAUGAGAACUCAUGGUUGGGAUAAUGCAAAGUAGUCCUUUGACCUGAGGCAUCACAGUUGUCUUGUGGUUAAGUCCUUGAUCUUUGAUUAUGUCAAACGUCAUUCCAUUGGAGUGUCCACGGCAUCGUUGGGGUUAAGCCACUUAGUCAUGGAGGCAAGUGAAUGCGCAACAAGGGAUCUCUAACCUUCAAACUGUUUGAGGGAGAAUACUCUAUGAUAUGAUUAAGAAUCUUUGGCCAAAGUAUGAAUGAGAUUUAGGAAAACGUUCCAAAUCACAUUCAAGGUAAUCAUAUAAGCACACGAAUCACAUUGGAUAGUAGACAUGAAUAAAUAAACUAUCAAACCAAACAAUGUGGUCAAGAGUAUUGUAUUAGAGAAAGACCGUAUUGCAUUUGUAAUCCCAAACUGAAUAGGUUUUCUCUACCUCUUCUGAUUAGCUUGGGUAACCAUGAUAUGCUGCAAGGUGUCACUCAUGGUUUGUGGAAGCCCUAAAUGUGUGUAAUCACUAAAGGGAGAAUUGAAAGUAAGUUUCAAUUCACAAUCGAUGUAAAAUGGUUUUAAUCGCCCACUGCCUCGCUAAAAGGAACCUAAUGGAUCGCACACCGUGUAAGGAGGAGAUUGAAGAAACAAUGGAGAUGAGUAAGAAUGAUUAAAUGGUUUAAUCAUUUAUUUAUGGCAAGGAUUAAUUAAUAUGUUAAUUAAUCAAACGAAUAAGUUCGUUAAAGACCUCGAGAUAGUUUUGGACCUUAAGGCCCAAUGGGCUUCGAACGUCAAGCCCAUUAACUUAAGUUGUAUGACAACUUAAUGAAUAAUGAUUCACAAAGGCCCAAACAACUCAAAAAUACCCCAAGGCCGGCCAUGAUGUUUAGGGUAGUGAACUUGGACUUAUUUACAAGUUUGCCACUCAAAUGAAUAAAGGUAUAAAUAUGACUUUAUAGCCAAAAUUCAUUAAGGGUUUGUUUUGGAGAAAAUUGGUGAGAACUUGUCUCUCCAUUUCUCUCUAAAGAGGCCGGCCACCUUGGGGGUGCAUCUUGCAAUCCCACUACUCCAAGGUCACUCAUUUCUUCUCCAAUCUCUCCUUGGUGAAGAGACUUAGAGGUUCUCAAUUUUGGGAACUUGGAGAAACCUAUUCUUCCAUCCAAAUCCAUAGAUUUUAGAUGCAAGGAAUGAAGGCCCUCUCUUUGGGUGAUUAGCCUUUGCUUAUGCAAAGAGGAAUCUACAAAGGUAUAAAUUUCAACUCACUUUGUUUUGAGUUGAGUUUUGGUUCACCAAUCUACUAGGCUUUGAAUUUCUUGGUUAAUGUUUUGUUUUUGAAUGCAUGCAAGCAUGAUUCCGCCUUUUAAUUGUUAUUAGCAUGCUAUAGAUGUUAUUCAAAUGAACAUGUUUUCACAAAAUAAUCCUUCAUGAAAAGCAUGAAACUCCUACCAAGAAUUUACUUAACUCAAUCAUGAAUAGUGACUUUUACUACUUGUAAAUAUAAAUUCAUAACGAUUAGGUGAAAUUCCUUUAUAUUCUAGCAUCAAAUCCCUACAUGUAAACUAAGUAUGCAUCCUUAAUAAACAUACAAGAAAAAGUUCUUUAUAAAGCAGAUAAGUAAAUCGCAUUCAUGUCUUAUGAAACAAUAAUUGAAUGUAAUCAAUUCAUAUAAAACAUAUGAUCAUGGCUUCGAAUUCACCUCUAGCUAAAAAGAAACUUAGUUACACAUGUUCAUCAUAAUUGAAAACCAAUCUAAAAUAAACAUUAAAACUUUGGAUGCAGGAUGCUGCACUUUUUUCUCCCCCCUUCCCCCUGGUAUUUGCAGCAAAAAUCUGUAUAUAUAGGGCAAAGGGCACGGCUAAAUCCUAGGAGGAAAAAGAUUAGGUUAUUUGAAUUAUUUUAGGACUCCUAGAAUCAGAUAGGAAGUGUUGGAAUGUGAAAAGGAUUUCUCUUUGCAGCUGGAUACAAGAUAAGGUAAGAUUGGAUAAGAUAGGAUAAGAUAAGGUUGGAUAAGAUAAGAUUGGAUAAGGUUGCUCUUUCUUGUCUAAUUCCUUAUCUUCCAAGCCUCAAUUUUAAUUCCUCCAAAUUUUAGCACAAAUCCAGCACCAUUUAAACACCAAAAACGUCAGCCCAUAUGCUAUCCAAGCCUGUUGUCCAAUUCAAGUCCAAAACUGCUCCUAAUUGCUCCAUUUUGCCCUGUAUUGUAUAUUUCCCAAUUGGACCUACAAUACUACGAAAAUAACAUAAAUUACCAAAAUAAAUGGAAAUUAACUAAGUAAAUGCAAAGAAAUAAGAUAAUAAAGUCGCAUAAAUAUGCUCCUAUCAAAAUCAUCAAGAAACAUUUGACAAGCACCAAAGGAGACGUCCACACCAUUCAUUUGUAAAGAUUUUUUGUACAAUAGUAUCUUCAUUCAUAUAUAUAUAUAUAAGAGGCCUUCAUUGUAAACACAUACCUACCUACGACUACUGACGACUACAACACACACACCUAAGCAGAGAAACACAUAGCCUUCCUAGCAUCAUUUCCAUCACUCGUAAACUUUUCCUGUAAACACUUCCUUUGUAAUUAUCUUCUGUAUACCAAUAAAAAUUUAAGUGUACAUAAGUUUUCUUUUUUUUUUCUUUUUAGUGUUUUUGUUUAAUUAGACUUCUAGUCCAAAACAGAGAAAUAUUAUUAUAGUUAUAUUAUUAUCUCGUUAAACUGAUGAUUAUAUUUUGCUCGAGCACUCUGUUAUAGUUGUGCCAUACUUAAGGGUACCUCUGAGUUCAGCCUCUAAGGCCUUAUACCUGCAUUGUGAGUGACCAUCAUGCUGAAACAUGUUGAGUUUCAUGUGCGAGGUUCUAUGUCUAAUUGUUAUAAUGGUCAUCCAACUAUUUAACUGGGUCUUGCUCUUCAAAUUUGGUAUCAGAGCCAAGUUUAGCAUUUUAAUAGUAUAAUUAUAAUAGUAAAGUACCUUAAGGAUGAAAUUCAUCAACACAACUUGUUGAUGCACAAAAUCAGUGAUGACUUUGGUACAACAGAAAGUGUCAAGUUUGGGACCUUCGCUAGAUUGCUCCAGUCACUAGUAUGGAUAGGUAUGUAAAUGGACAGAAACAGGGAAGCAAACACAAGAUGUACGUGGUUCACCCAGAUUGGCUACGUCCACGGAGUAAAGGAGUUCUCAUUAAUUGUGAAGGGUUUACACAAGUACAUAAGUUCGAGCUUUUCUUUAGUGAGUUCUAGUGAAUGAUCUAGUGAAUGAUUUAGUACAAAUGACAUUAGGAAAUAUUGUGAGAGAAUGAUCUCCUUUUAUAGAAGAGAGUCUCUAGCUUUGUUCUGACUUUGACAUGUGUCGUGCUAUGAUUGGCCUCUGAUGUCGACACGUGUGGCCUUUGAUGUUAACAUGUGCCGCAUUGUGAUUGGCCUCCUAGUUUGGGGGAAACUCUUGUGGAUCCUUGAUGGCAUAACAUUGACCCAUGCUCAAUAGUUUUUGGAUUGGUCAAGUAUGGUACAAACAGUGCUCCCCUAAGUCCCCGAGUAAGGGAAGCUCCUCGGUUGAGGACUUGCAAGAUCCAAGCCGCUGAGUACUCAUGAAACUUCUAAGUACCGAAGUGUGGUAUCGUUUUCACUUGCCUUAUCUAUCCCAUAAGUAUAUAUGGCAUCUUCUCUAAAAUUACUUUUCCUCCAUCCAGGGGUGGUAUCUUUAACUGAUGGAGAUGCACAAAGUAAUGUAUCAAUUUCACUUGAAGCUUACUUGUAGUUUUGGGCUUGGUUAAGCGUCAUACAAGCCUUAUAGUAGGAGUCCCCCAAGUCUCUGAGCGAGAAGAUAUGUCAAAAGAAGUGACAUACAAGGUAAGCGAUCAGAGUUCCAAGCAAUCAGUCUCGGAUUGAAAGUUUGAUCUCGUGUUCUGGCUGAUUGUUCUCCUUCUCCUUGUUGUGUAGACAUCAACAAGGACAAAGAAAAUGACAUGGAGAAGAGAUGAUAUGAGAUACUUUUGCUUUUGAAGAAGUAACUUUCCAUAGGCUUAUCCUUGAACUGGGCUGGAGGGUUUUCUGGUUUCCUUCAGAGUAUAAGGCCGACUCAAAAAUUUAAGGGUCAAAACAAGUCCAUCAAAUCAAGGGUGCGUUCAACCUUGAUGAUAUGAGAUACUUUUGUUGUUGACAAAGUAAUAGAUGAAUCGGCACGUGUUCUGUUGUGCUUGUCUCCACAUGCUUCCUUGUAUCCUCUUCACUUGCUCUAUCUGUUCCUCAUGCAUAUAUGGUAUCUUAUCUGGAAGCAUAAGAUGUUGAAGAUGAGUACUCGAAAACAUUGCUAGGUAAGUAAUCAGGCAAAGGGUUCCAGGUAGUCAGUUCAUGACUGGAAGCUUGAUUCCAAGUGCUGAAUAAUUGCUCUCUUUCUCCUUAUCUUGCAGGUAAGAGCAAGGGCAAAUGAAAAGACAGGAAAAAAGCAUGAUAUGGGAUACUCUUGCUUUUAACCCUAAUGAUAUGAGAUACUCUUGCUCUGGUGCGGCUGGUUUGCAGAGGUAUUAUUGGGGGGAAGAAAGUUGAGUAUUUCGAAAGGCUUCGUUGGGAGUGCCCUCUCAUAUAUGAGGAAGGGUUGAGCAUUUUUGCAUGUCUGCCUGUACAUAAAGGAUGGAGGUCGACAUAUAUAGGAGUUUCCCCAAUAACAAGUAGUAAUGCUAUUCCUUUACCCUUCUUGGUCAUAGUAAUGUAGUAGGAGCUGCAAGCUUUAUCCAAGGAAAUCUGGCUCUCGAAGCUCGGAGAGGGGUGCCUCUUCGAUUUUCAAGUAAGAAGAUAUGUUAAAAAUCUGGCUCUCGAAAUUCGAAGAGUGUUGCCUCUUCGAUUUUUGAAAAAGCAAUCCUAUUAGGGAUCUAGCUCUCGAGAUUCGGAGAGUGGUGCCUUUUCAAUUUUUUAGAAAGCAAUCAUGUUAGGAGUCUAGCUUUCGAGAUUUGGAAAGCGGUGCCUCUUUGAUUUUUGAGAAAGCAAUCCUAUUAGGAGUCUGGCUCUCGAGAUUCGGAGAUCGGUGCCUCUUCGAUUUUUGAGCAAGUAAUCCUGUUGGGGGAUCUGGCUCUCAAGAUUUGGAGAACGGUGCCUCUUCAAUUUUUAAGCAAGCAAUCCUGUUAAGGGAUCUGGCUCUCGAGAUUCAAAGAGCGGUGCCUCUUCGAUUUUUGAGCAAGUAAUCCUGUUGGGAGUGUUUUCUUGGAUGUGAGUAAAGGUUGGGCAUUUUUGCCAGUCUGCCUUGCCACGGAGCAUAGAGGUUGACACAUAUAGGAACUUUCCAGUUAUCAACCAGUGGUAUUGUUCCUUUACCCUUGUGGGUAAUAGUAUGGUAGCUGGACCUUCAAAUUUUAUGUGUCUAAACUUUGUCAGAGAUCUUUGGCAAAGUUAUCUGUGGUACCCGAGGAGCUAAUGUUGCAUGUGGAGAUUGUUAACAGAUUUUACUCAGGAAAAUCCGCUUCUCGAAAUCUAGAGAGUGCUGCCUCUUCAAUUUUUGAACAAACGGCCUUGUUGCCCUUUCUUUCAUAGGGGCACCAAUUGUGUGCAAGAAGUAUGUUCAUAGAGUUAUUGCUUGUAGGAAUUUUCUCCUUCUUUUUGUAGUUUAGAGAUUUAUUGGACUCAUUUUUCCUUCAUCAUUUAUGAAAAUGUCUAGCCCAUCAGAUCGUCAUUUUAACUUGAACUUUGGUGAAGAGGUAGUCAUGUCUCCUCAAGACAACAUAUGGUGGCCAUCAUUCUUAUCCCUUACUAGUCCUCUUACCAUUGAGGCCUCUAUUAUGAAGAAUGAUAUGACUGAUGCGGUGGUGGCCAGGAACUUUCUCAUUCCCAAAGAUAACAGACUACUUUCCAUACAGUCCGAUGAGUUAGCUAUUAAGGAUUUUCUGGCUCUCAGUGUUCAGUGUGCAAGUUCUAUGUCUAAUAUGGCCUAACGCCUAUUUGUUCGAACCUGCCAAGUUGAAUCAUUGGCGGCUGAAGUGGUAAGUCUAAAACAGGAUAUCAAAGGGCUCAAGAACGAGAAUAAACAGUUGCACAGGCUCACAUAUAACUAUGCUAAAAGCAUGAAGAGGAAGCUUGACCAGCUGCAGGAAUCUGAUGGUCAGAUUUUAAUUGAUCAUCAGAGGUUUGUGGGUUUGUUAGAAAGACAUUUAUUGCCUUCGUCUUCUGGGGUUAUGCCACGUACUGAAGCUCCAAAUGACUCAUCUUUCUAGGGUUCUACCCAGUACUGAGGCUCCAAAUGAUCACCCUCUGGUGCCUUCUAUUUUUUGGGCUCUGCCGAGUGCUGAGACUUUUCAUGAGCAACCUUUGUGAAGGCCCCCUCCUGUUUGUUUGUUUUGAUUCAUGUGUAUGCAUGUAUCUGUAAUUUAUCGAAGAUAUCAAUAAAUAAGUUUACUUCAUUUAGCCCAUUGUGUUAAAUACACUAAGGCAUCUUUCACUAAGUUCUUUGAAUUUUUUCUUUUGUUGAAGUUUGCAUGUUGAAACUACAUGGAUGAAUCUUGUAAGUUGAGGUAGUACUCCCUUAAUUUCCCGAGUGAGGAAAACUUCUCGGUUGGAGACUUAAAAGAUCUAAGUCAUUGAGUAGUCAUGAAAGUUCCAAGUACCGACGUGUAGUAGUAUAUGGUAGGAGUCCUCCAAGUCUCCAGUUGAGGGAGUUGACGAAUAAGGUGCCUUGCUAGUAGCCAAGUUUCCAAAGUAACAAAACUUCACCAUUUUCCUUUCUAAGUGGUAGCCCAAAACUCUUCCUUCAUAUAUAUUUGUUAUGAAAGUUGUUAGGCCCAACAAAGUUUGAUCAAGAGUGUGUGAAGCUUUUGGCAUUUGUAGUUGCCCUCCAUUUGUUGAAGCUUUUGUUGGUGAAGCUUUGUGGGUGAAGCUUUUGUGUUGAAGCUAGGUGAAACUUUUGUGUUGAAGCUUUGUAGGUGAAGCUUUGAGGUUGAAGCUUUGUUGGGUACCAUGAAUUGAUUUUGCUUCACACUAUCUUGAUCAAGAGUGUGUGAAGCUUUUGGCAUUUGUAGUUGCCCUCCAUUUGUUGAAGCUUUUGUUGGUGAAGCUUAGUGGUGAAGCUUUGUAGGUGAAGCUUUGAGGUUGAAGCUUUGUUGGGUACCAUGAAUUGAUUUUGCUUCACACUAUCUUAAUCAAGAGUGUGUGAAGGUUUUGGCAUUUGUAGUUGCCCUCCAUUUGUUGAAGCUUUUGUUGGUGAAGCUUAGUGGUGAAGCUUUGUAGGUGAAGCUUUGAGGUUGAAUCUUUGUUGGGUACCAUGAAUUGAUUUUGCUUCAUAUUAUUUUGAUCAAGAGUGUGUUAAGCUUUUGGCAUUUGUAGUUGCCCUUUAUUUGUUGAAGCUUUUGUUGGUGAAGCUUUGUAGUGAAGCUUCGUAGUGAAGCUUGUUAGGUGAAGCUUUUGUGUUGAAGCUUUUUAGGUGAAGCUUUAAGGUUGAAGCUUGGUAGGUGAAGCUUUGUAGGAGAAGCUUUGAGGUUGAAGCUUUGUUGGGUACCAUGAAUUGAUUUUGCUUCACACUAUCUUGAUUAAAAGUGUGUGAAGCUUUUAGCAUUUGUAGUUGCCCUCCAUUUAUUGAAGCUUUUGUUGGUGAAGCUUUAAGGUUGAAGCUUUGUUGGGUACCAUGAAUUGAUUUUGCUUCACACUAUCUUGAUUAAGAGUGUGUGAAGCUUUUGGCAUUUGUGGAUUGGACUCAUUUGAUGAAGCUUUGUUGUCACCAUAAAUUGAUUUUGCUUCACACAAUCUUGAUCAAAAUUAUGUGAAGCUUUUCAGAAUUUUAGUUGCCCUCCAUUUGUUAAAGUUGUUGAAUUUCUCAAUUUCCCUUUUUUUUUUUGGGAAAUUGGAAAUUUGAAAAUGUGGGAGAGACAACAUAUACAAAUUUUAGCUCCAUACUGUUGAAUAAGAGAUUAUAAUGCAAGCCACACCAUGUAGUAGUCAAAGGUUUAGAUAAACCAUAUAAAUUGAAUUUGCUUCGAAUAGUCUCGAUUAAAAGUGUGUGAAGCUUUCUACGAGUUGUAGUAUUUGCAUUGUUACAGAGGAGAAAUGUCUGAAGCAGAUGCAAGAGGGUUGAAGAGCUUGAUCUUCGUAUACCAUGCACUGAAGCCGUUGUUGGCUUGCAAUAAGACUUUGUUGGUGACUAUAACUCUUGUUAGGCAUAAGUGUUCCCCUAGUUGAGUUGUAAAGCUUGAGGGUUUUUUAUUAUUUGUGAAUGCUAGGAGUUCACAUGUACAAGUUGUACCACUUGUCUUCUAGUUGGUGGAAUGAAUGGUGAGUUGCUUUCAUCACUUGGUUGGUGGUACGAAGGUGAGUUCCUUCAUCAUCUUUCAUCACAUUUCAUCACCUGGUUAGUAGCACGAGGAUGAGUUCCUUCUUCACCUAGUUAGUGAUAAGAGUGGCAAGUUGCUAAAUAAUAUUAGAGUACGGGUUGUACAUUUCAUCACUUGGUUAGUGGCAUGAAAGAAAGUACAGGAUGUAUAUUUCAUCACCUGGUUAGUGGCACGAAGGUAAGUUCCUUCUUCACCUGGAUGGUGAUAAGUGUGGCAAGUUUCCAAAUAAUAUUAGAGUACGAGUUGUACGUUUCAUCACCUGGUUGGUGGCACGAAGGUGAGUUCCUUCAUCACCUAGUUGGUGAGAAUAAGGGCAAGGUGCCGAGGCACAUUGUAGCAAGUGUCGAAUGACACAAAGUAUGUUGAACCCUUUCGAAGCACAGUUGGCUUAUGUAUGGAUCUGUUGGAAUGUAUGAUGUUUAUGUAUGAAUGUGUUAGAAUGUGUGAUGUUUAUGUUGAUUGAUAUGAGUUAUGCUUAUGAAUGUUUUGCUAUGCAUGAAGGAAUCCAUGCUUUCGAUAUGUGAACCAUAUUAGUUGUAACACUUAGUAUCACUUACUUUGUGUCAAAGUACGCAUGUUGAAGCUCUGAGUUGAAGCAUAGAGGUAGGUCAGCGUAGACCAAAUGUUCCAAUGCAAUGAAUGCAAAAGACUCAGAAGAAGUUGUCUGAAUUCUUUCUUCUUUAAAUAUUUGCCGAAUGGCUUAUGUGACAAAAGAUCUCAAGCAGUUGAGGGUCAAAACAUUUGUAAUGUGUAUGCCUUCUUAUAAUAGCAUUUCCUUCAUUACCUAGUCCUCCACUUUGAAACAGUGAGGCUUGGUCCCAUAGUCAUAAUAGCCGACGGUACAUUCACCCCUGGUUGUCUUGAUACAAACUUUUAUCCCUCUUGUUGUAAUGAGCUUGCUGAGAGUAAAUAUCAUUCCUCUUACCAAGAGACGAAUAUGUUUGGUGACUUAGCGAGUAGCUAAAUGAGGUAGGAGAGGAUGCAAUGGGUGUCUGAAUGGCCAAUAUUUCCUCACUUGGUAGAACUUGACUUCCACUUCCAACUUAUUGAUAGGGGUUAACCAUAUAGGGUUCCUUUGGUAUGUCCUUACCUCGACAAAUGUAUAGUUGUAAGCUUGCAUCAUUACUUCAGAGUAAGUCUUCCAAGUGUUAGCAUUCAUCAUGUACUUGAAGAAGCAUUCAUGCAUGCCUACUGUGAAGGCCUUGAGUACUGUUUUAUCAUUUGCCUCAGCACAACGAGAGUACUCAUAGCUGAAGCGACCGGCAUAUUCACGCAAUGACUCAUUUGAUUUCUGACGAAUAGUGUAUAGCUCAUCAGCAGAGUGUACGCGAUCGGCUUGGAAGAUGCGUUGAGCCACGAAGAGUCUCCUUAGCUCAGUGAAGGAAUCCACAGUAUUAGGUCAAAGACGACAAUACCAAUUGAGAGCUCCACCAGAGAAAGUUGAGGGGAAUAUGAGACAUCGUUCCUUAUUAUUGUGUAUUCGUUAUGCCAUGGUAAAUUCAAAAAGGUAGAUAUGCUCAAUCGGAUCUUCCCUCCCAGUAUAAGAUUGCAAGCCAAGCUUUUUUUUCGUUUCUCCUUGUAGAAGGGUGCCAAGGAUUCUCUUUGUCAAAGGGUCGGGCCUUAGUUGAUCCCAGCCAGGGAUUUGGGCAUGACGCUCGGCCUUUAGCUUGUUCACCUCUUCGAGGAGAUGCAUGAUAUGAGGAUCAUGAGUGGAGUCAGGCAUCAUUAGAACUCUCAUUCGAAAAUUUUCCUCAUCCCUUAGAAGUAUGGGAGUUUGGUCAAAGGCAUGUUGCUUUUUCUUAGAUUCACCGUACUGUCUUUCGAGACGUGCCGUUUGGAAGUCCCCUGAGUCUUCUUCACCUUCUUGUCCCUUUUAGGCAUGUGGUUCCUUUCUUGGAUUAGGCGUUGGCCUACAUUGUGGUAGAGGACCGAGCCCUUCGAUGACUUUUGGGUCUUUGAUCCUUGAGCCUAUGUGGACCGAGCCCUUCGAGUGUACACAUGGUGGAAACCAACUUGACAAAGUUGAAGAAGGUAGGAAUAAGUGUGUUUCCCACAGAUGGCACCAAAUGUUGAUACAUAAAAUCAGUGAGGACUUUGGUACAACAGAAAGUGUCAAGUUUGUGACCUUCGCUAGAUUGUUUCGAUCACUAGUAUGGAUAGGUAUGUAAAUAGACAGAAACAGGGAAGCAAACACAAGAUGUACGUGGUUCACCCAGAUUGGCUACGUCCAAGGAGUAGAGGAGUUCUCAUUAAUUGUGAAGGGUUCACACUGAUACAUAGGUUCGAGCUCUCCUUUAGUGAGUUCUAGUGAAUGAUUUAGUACAAAUGACAUUAGGAAAUAUUGUGAGAGAAUGAUCUCCUUUUAUAGAAGAGAGUCUCUAGCUUUGUUUUGACUUUGACACGUGUCAUGCUGUGAUUGGCCUCUAAUGUCAACACGUGUCGCGCUAUGAUUGGCCUUUGAUGUCAACACGUAUCGCGCUGUGAUUGGCCUCCUGGUUGGAGGGAAACUCUUGUGGAUCCUUGACAGUAUAAUGUUAACCGGUGCUCAGUAGUUUCGGGAUUGGUCAAGUAUGGUACAAACACAACUAAUAUCACACACUUGUUUAUUUUGUAUGAGCACUGUAUAUUGUUGUCCUUGUAGAUCCUGCCAACCAUAGCUACUAGGAAUAUAUUGUCCUAGAUACCCAACUGUAACUAGCAUAAAGAGAAGAUUAGUAUAUAUUUUUAAAAUAAUUAACAAGACUAAAGACUUUGAAGAAACAGAGGUUUUAUCUUGAUUAUCUUGAACAUCCUUCAUUUAUUAGUAAAUAUAAAAACAUGAAAGUGCAGUAUAACGUAUUAGUGAUAGGAUUAAAAGCACACCACAAAGUAGCACACAAAUGUCCUAUUGAUUUUCCUUAUUAACACUAAGAUUUGUCAAUUGUAGCGUAUGAAAAUAAGGGUCUUUCCCGCAGAAGAUUGUUUAAUGUCACAAAAACUGGUUGUUGUCCCUACUGACCAGCCACUGAAAAAUAAUUAUUAGACCUACUUACACUUAUCUAAAGUCUACGAAAUUUUAUAUGAACACACUAGAAACAUAGAGCUACACUCACACAAAUGUUUAGGAUUUUUGGAGUUGAUUUACUAUUUAAAUUAAAUCGAACAAAAACAGGACAAAAACAAAUUUUAAGUAGUUCACAAAUUAAGAAAAACGAGUUAGGGGAAUUGCUAUCCACCACCAAAUAAUUAUGCAAACAUGUUGUGUUUCAUUCAAAUUCCUUUUAUUACACGAUGAAGAUGCUCAAGUUGGCUCAAUAUUAGAACUCAACCUAUUACUCUUUCUUAUGUAAUAUGUUAAGAGAAUGACAUUUUCAAUUCAACUUAGUCCCUUGCAUGCAAUCUAGAAUGGCGUGUUCAUAGAUUUAACAAGUAGAAAUCAUUAAGAAUGAAAAGAGUUUGAGUCAUCACAAGGCAUUGUAAGUACUAGCGUUGUCUUACUCAUCAUAGAAAUUGGUUCACAUGUUAAUCACAAUUAACAAGUACUACUCUAGAACAUAUGUAGGUCCUCAUUCGACAAGGGUAGGCACACACAUAUUCAUAGCGACAAAAUCCUAGAUAUGCUUACUAAGUAUGCAUCCGUAGAAAACACAUAAAGAAUUCAUCAAUGAGACAAGUAGUGAAUCAAUUUUCAUCCAUUCAUAAAAGUAAUUCAAACAAAAUGUCAUAACAAACUUGCAAUCAUAUUCGGGGCUUCAAAACAGCACCUAACUACUAAAAAUUUAGUUACACAUUAUUAUCAAAUAAAACCAAAAGAAAGACAUGAGUUUGAGAAGAUAAAACCAAGAGAAGAGAAUGCCAAGAUUUCCUCCUUCCUUUCCUUCCUUUCCGCAAAGCUGCCUUGUCCUCUUUCUUUUUCCCACACUGCAACCUGCAGCCUUUCCCCUUUUUAACUUCCUGCCCCAUUUUCUUCUCCUUAACUCACCCACUAACAGCCAUUUAGUGAUGGCAAUAAGUGAGAGGAAAUGGUAAAACAAUUGUAACUCUUUGGGUAGCCUUUAUGCCAAUUACUCCCACUUAAUCCUCAUCUUUAUUUCCAUUUCCUCUGAUAUUUGAAUAGGUGUCAGCUGGCUUGUUCUUGGCUGCAUCAGUUUUGGCUGCUAGAAUUAUUGCGUUUAUUGUUUUCAUUGCAGUUAUAAACUGCUCAGUCUCUUGUGAACCUUUCAGUGUUAAAACGGUCAUAACUUCUUCUACAAAAAUAAUAUUAACAAUCCGCGAAAUGUUCCAGACCAUAGACAUCCGUAGCUUUCCAAGAAUAUAAGGUUCAUUCUCUUAUUCAUAUUGAUCUAUUCACAACUUGCUUCCAAAGUCAACUGACCUGCACAGGCAGUUUUGAUGAAUUUGUUACUUAAAAUCCCACUUGUGCUUAUUUUCUUUUCUUUGCUUGACAAAUCCUAGAAAACACAAACAUAAAGUAAAUAGCUCAAAAAUAUAAGGAACUAACUAAGAAAAGAAAAGUAAAUUUGAUGUAAAAUAUAUAUAAAUAUGAGCUUAUCAAAUAGUAGCAAAAAGAGCAACAAAUCAUACUUUAGAGACUCUAAGAUAAGAAAGAGAAUUUUGAAGAAAUCAAUUAACCUUAGAGAAAGGUAGAUUUUUGUAGUUUAUGAUAGAUUACCUAAAUUUAUAAAUUAGUGAACCACAAAAAAAAGAAAAAUCACUUUAGACCAAAAUAGUUUAGUUUUUUAUUUUUCCAUUAAGAAAGCAUAACCAUAUUUUACAUAGUGAGGAAAAUUCACAAGAAAAUAGUAUGAGAUCUUAUCAUUAGUCAAGUAGAAAACAUAAAAUUAGAAAAUAAUAAGCAUAAUAACUUAUUAAACCAUUUGUUAAACUAUUUUCAGAAAAAAUCCAUAAAUAAUAUUAGACAAAAUUUAGAUUAUAUUACAUCCCAACUAGAAGAUAAUAAUAAAAAUAUUCAAAGAUUUCCUAGUAAGAAAGAGAUAAAAAGAAGCUUAUUGACCUUAUAGAUAGGAAGCCUAAGCAAGUAGAACUUAAAUAAUUAAAAAUAGUUGAGCAAUUAAAAUUAGAAGUUCAAAAAGUUCAAUUAGUACAAAAGAGUUAAAUGAGCAAGUAGGUAAGUUACAUAACAAAAUAGAUAGAUUAUUAGUUUAAUGACUGAUUCUAGAACAAAUAGAAAAUAUAUUCAAGAUUUAAAAGAAACUAAUAAGUUAGACAAAGAACCAGUAGGUUUAACAGAUUGGUCAAUACAAGUAGCUAAUAGUAAUAUACAUGUUGGACAAAAUAAUUUAAUCAUCCAAUUAGUUUUAAAUUUAGCUGAAAAUUAUAUCAAGUUGAAGAACAAAUAGCAGAAAUAAAUCAAGUUUUACAUAACACAUCUUCAUCACUUUCACCAACUUUGUUACAAAAAUUAGAAAAUUUAACUUUAAGAAAAAAUAAUUGUUUGUAUCAUACUUGACCAAUCCCGAAACUACUGAGCACCGGUCAACAUUAUACCGUCAAGGACCCAAAAGAGUUUUCCUACAACCAGGAGGCCAAUCAUAGCACGACAUGUGUCGACAUCAGAAGCCAAUCAUAGCGCGACACGUGUCAACAUCAGAAGCCAAUCACAACACGACACGUGUCAAUGUCAUAAUGAAACUAGAAACUCUCUUCUAUAAAUAGAGAUCAUUCUCUCAAAAUAUUUCAUAAUGUCAUUUGUACUAAAUCAUUUACUAGUACUCACUAAAGAAGAGCUUGAACCUAUGUACUUGUGUAAACCCUUCACAAUUAAUGAGAACUUCUCUACUCCGUGGACGUAGCCAAUCUGGGUGAACCACGUACAUCUUGUGUUUGCUUCCCUGUCCCUAUCCAUUUACAUACUUAUCCACACUAGUGACCGGAGCAAUCUAGCGAAGGUCACAAACUUAACACUUUCUGUUGUACCAAAGUCUUCACUGAUUUUGUGCAUCAACAUUUGGCGCCGUCUGUGGGAACGACACUUAUUCCCACUCUCUUCAGCUUUGCCAAGCUGGUUUCCACCAUUGUACACUCUCUUUUGACCAGGCAUCCCUUUCCAACAUGGGGAGCGAAGGAAGCCACAACACACAGAAUGACACCCAUUUUGCACCUAGUGCAAUGCAACGAAACAAGAAAGGAAAGAGGGUUGCUCUUCAAGCUAAAGUCGAUGAGCUAGAAGCUCUGAACAACAAGAUAGCAAUGAAGAAUGAGGUCCUCCAGGAGCAGUAUGAGAAGCUCUUUGAGACGCUUCACGAAACUAGACAUACUUAAACACGCGAACUCGUUACCCCUUUGGACAUCAACCAUCAUCUGGAUGUCUCCCAACAAGGAGGGUCACCUUCAUUCGACAUGGGUAUCCCUGAUGAGAAGCGAGCUAAUCAUCAAAACAUUGAUCAAUAUGAGACUUCUCUCAACCCAGCUGCUUCGACCCGAAGCAGGAGAAAUGGAGGAAGACACCUCCUUGCAGAAAGGUUGGAAGGAUCGAAAGCCAUUUAUCGUGGCUGCCAAGACUUCCUAAAGCAACGUCGAGAGAAUCCCCUCCACAUAAGCUCGAAGAUCAAUGACCCAAGGGUUUCUGAAAGACUCGGUCCCCUCCCACGUUCUAGGCCGGCUACUAAUUUGGGGAUGGGGUAACAAGUCCUAGAGAAACACAAAGGUAUAGGGGACUCAAAGAUGUUUCGGCAGACAUACCUUGAAAGUCAAUAAGGCGAGUCCAGGGGAAAAUCACAUGCUCUUGAUUAAACCUUCCUCCUUCCAAGAGGAGAUGGAGAUUUACGAAAGAAAGCUCCAGUGGUACAUGACUCCACUCAGGACCCUCUUGUCCUACAACUUCUUAAGGAAGUAAACAAGUUAAAGGCCGAACGACAAGCUGAGAUACUUGAUUGGAACCAACCUAGGCCUGGCCUUCUUACAAGGAGGAUCCUUAACACCCCCUCCAAGCAAAGACAAAGCAGAAGCUUGGCUUGCAACUCUAUACUGGAAAUGAGGACCCGAUUGAACACCUUAACCUUUUUGAGUCCACCAUGGCAUACUGGAUACACACCGAUGAAGAACGAUGUCUUCUUUUCCCCUCCACCUUCUCUGGCGAAGCUCUAAACUGGUAUUGUUGUCUUCCACCUGAGACGGUAGACUCAUUUGAGGAAUUGAGGAAACUGUUUUUUUCUCAACACAUUUUCCAGACCGAUCGCUUGCAUUCUACAGAUGACUUAUACACUAUUCGCCAGAAGCCGGAUGAGUUACUACGAAAGUAUGCCGGUCACUUCAGCCAUGAGUAUUCUCGCUGCGCUGAGGUAAAUGACAAGACCGCCCUCAAGGCCUUCACGGCAGGCAUACGUGAUUGUUUCUUCAAGUACAUGAUCAAUGCCAACACUUGGAAGACUUACUCUGAGGUGAUGGCACAGGCUUACAACCAUACCUCCACCGAGGCAAGGACAUAUUAAGGAAAACCCCCCACAGCCACCCCUUAUCAGCAAGUAGGGAAUAGAAGCUAGAUCCAACCAAAUGAGAAGACCUCGACCUUCCAAACGGCAACGGUGCCUCCCCCUGCCUUACUUAAUACUUUGCCAAGUUAAUAGAGAUAUCAAUCUCAGGGCAAAAGGAAAGAUUUCCAUCCUCACCAAUCUCAUUUUAGUAAAAGGAGUAAGGGACACUACCGCGAUAACCAAGGGUAUCGCCAUAAUAAUCCCCGACCCAAAGUAGUCAACAUAGUAGGCCAAGCACGUGUCAAGACAACCCCUACCCCGAGGUAUGAGGCAUACACACCUUUGAACGCCACAUGCGUGGCCAUUUACCUCAGCAUAGCAUACCUGAUACCGAAGCCAAAGCCGAGACACCCGGAUUACAAGUCCACUAAGAACACGGGCACGUUUUGCUGUUACCACGAGUAUAACGGCCAUAACGGUGAAAAGUGUAUCACCCUUCGUGAUCAUAUUAAAGCUUUGACACGUGAAGGAAAAAUUGAUCAAUUCCUCCUUCACCCCCUAAGGGGUAACCGUAACCAACGUCAGGUGAAUGUGAUAUAUUCCAUAAGUGGUGGCACACCCAUAUCUAAAUAUUCCAACAGGGCCAUGAAAAAUAGUGAACGAGCUUUAAAGUCUGGCCACCAAGUGUUUCACGUGGAAUAUAUCAGAGGAGGCAAGUAUCAAAAGCCUAACUGGGAUCCAAUAUGUUUCUACCCUGAGGAAGAAAGAGGUAUCAUGUACCCUCACAACAACCCACUGAUCAUGGAAGCUCACAUAGCCAACUUUGAAGUAUGACGAAUCCUGGUAGACACGGGGGCUUCGGUCAAUAUCAUGUUUGCUGAAGCUUUCAGGGCACUUAAUGUAGCUGAACACUUGCUCGAUCGCUCGAUUUCCCCUCUGAUAAACUUCUCCGGUGAUAUCAUGUAACCUUUGGGGAGCAUACACUUACCUUUCACCAUUGGUAUAAGCGCUUACACAGCUACCAUUACCACUAACUUCCUGGUGGUUGAUUGCCUAACGGCAUACAAUGUCAUCUUCGGACGCACAGGCAUCAAUGAUCUCAAGGCCAUGGUAUCUACACAUAUGUUGUUGAUGAAAUUUCCAACCCCCUAUGGCAAUGGUUACAUCAGAGGAGAUCAACUUAGUACACGAUCAUGUUACAACACUUUGGUCAAGCAACAUCACCUGCAUGUGCCCAAGGAAACCCUUUCUAUACAUGACCGAGUCAUAAAGACCAGCCCAGACGAAGCCAACUUAGAUCUUCACGGUGGCAAUAGUUAACCUGACGAUCCUCGAGAUGACUCUUUCACCCAGCAAGCACAACCCGCUGAAGAGUUGAAGAAAGUCUCUAUCUCAAAAGAUUAUCCGGAUCACAUGGUGAAGAUUGGUACCACCUUGUCACCACCCAUUCGGUUGACAUUGAUCUCUUUUUUGUAAGAGAAUACUGAGGUCUUUGCCUGGUCAUACGAGGACAUGCCAGGCAUAUCUCCCGAUAUAAUAUGUCAUUGCUUAAGUAUUGACCCCAAGACCAAGCUAGUGAGACAAGCGAAAAUCUUAUGAUGCUGAACGAUACGAGGCAAUGAAGGCAGAAGUUGAAAAACUCAAAGGCAUAGGCUUCGUCGGCGAAGUCAAUUAUCCAACGUGGGUAGCAAAUGUUAUCCUUGUUAAGAAGAAUCCGACCAAGAAAGUCUCUUGCUCCAAAAGGUCUUAUGGAGAAUAUGUGUCGAUUACACCGACCUAAACAAAGGAUGCCCAAACAAUAGCUUUCCUCUUCCUCUCAUAGACAGACUUAUAGACUCUACGGCAGGGUGUGAACUCCUGAGCUUCAUAGAUGCUUACUCAGGAUACAACCAAAUCCUGAUAAACCCUCCGGACCAAGAACACACAGCCUUCACUAUUGACAGAGGACUAUAUUGUUAUAAAGUCAUGCCCUUCGGCCUAAAGAAUGCAGGAGCGACUUAUCAGAGACUGGUUAAUUCAAUGUUUGUCGAAUAGAUUAGGAAGAGCAUGGAAGUUUACAUUGAUGAUAUGCUAGUCAAGAGUAAACAUGCUGACCAACACAUCACCAACCUAUCUUAAACUUUCACCAUUCUGAAAAGGUAUCGAAAUAGGUUGAACCCCAACAAAUGUGCCUUCGGCAUAGGCUCUAGCAAAUUCUUAGGCUUCAUGAUAAGCCAACGAGGCAUUGAGGCUAAUCCUGAGAAGAUCAAAGCAAUCCUCGACAUGAAGGAACCGGUAACUUCAAAAGACAUCCAGAGCCUUACUAGCAAGGUGGCAGCCUUAACUAGGUUCAUCUCUAAGGCCACAGACAGAUGUGCUCCUUUCUUCAAAGCACUUAAGGGAUGUAAGAAGUAUAUUACAUGGACUGAUGAAUGUACUGAGGCAUUCAAGAACCUCAAAGACUACAUGAGUAAAGCCCAUUUGCUCUCCAAACCUGAGGUUGGUGACACUCUCAUUAUCUAUCUGUCGGUAUCGGCUCCAGCAGUAAGUUCCGUUCUUAUUCGAAAGGAUGGUAAUGUCGAACGGCCUGUCUACUACGCUUGCAAGGCCUUACAAUAUGCGGAGACACGAUACUUUAACAUUGAAAAAUUGGCUCUAGCAUUGGUCAUGUCUGCACGAAAACUUCGCCCUUACUUCCAAGCAUACUCCAUCAUUGUGCUUACCAAUCAUCCUCUUCGACAGAUACUCCAAAGUUCUGACACUUCUUGGCGAAUGAUUAAAUGGGCGAUAAAAUUGGGUGAGUUUGACAUCUCCUACCAACCAAAGCCAGCUGAGAAGGGCCAAGCAGUGGCAGACUUCAUCAUCGACUUCACAUAUCCUGUUAACAUUGUUUAUACGCCUAAAGAAGUGGUUUCAUUACCCUCGGAAGCUCAGAAAAUAAAACCAACAGCCCCAGCAUGGAGUCUAUAUGUUGAUGGCUCGUCCAACCAACAGGGUUGUGGAGCAAGACUAGUCCUUACGACCCCUGACAAAGUGGCGAUGGAGUAUGCUCUUCAUUUCAAAUUCAAGGCGUCGAACAAUGAGGCCAAAUAUGAAGCCCUUCUAACAGGCUUACGUUUGGCCAAACACCUUGGGGUUAAACGAAUUAAUAUCUUCAGUGACUCCCAAUUGGUGGUUAACCAAGUCACCAACAACUUUGACUCUAAGGAUAGCUUCAUGGCAGCAUAUUUGGCACAAACACAAUUGUUGCUCAAGCACUUCCACUACCAGAUCACCCAAAUUCCUCGAGCGGCAAACAGUCAUGCAGAUGCUUUGGUUCGCCUCGCCUCAGCGGUGGAAGACAAGAUUGGGAGAAAAAUUCAAGUCGAAUUGUUGGUAGCACCAAGCACCAUGGCUGCAGAAGUGUGCAACUUACAACAAGGGGAUAGUUGGAUUACCCCAAUUUAUAGAUUCCUUGCUCAUGGCACCCUUCCAAAUGACAAAGUCCAAGCUAAGCAGAUUCGAUACAAGGCUACCCGUUACUUGAUCAUUAAUGACCAACUCUACAAGUGGGGUUUUAACCUACCAUACCUAAGAUGCCUUACGCCCGCAGAGGCGGAAACUGUCAUUCGGGAAAUACAUGAAGAAGUCUACGGAAAUCAUGCUGGAUCUCGAUCCCUAGCAUACAAGGCUUUUCGCCAAGGAUAUUAUUGGCCAACACUUCACCAAGAUGCCAUCAGAAUAUCCUGCUUAUGUGAUAACUAUUCCUCACUCCCUUCCCGAGCUGCUCACUCCUAUGAUCAGCCCUUGGCCCUUCACCCAAUGGGGACUUGAUUUGAUAGGCCCAAUGCAUGCAGGGAAGGGCAAGGUUCGCUAUGCAAUCGUUGCAGUUGACUACUUCACAAAGUGGGCCGAAGUAGAACCCUUAGCAACCAUUACUGAGGCAAAAAUAGAAGACUUCGUAUGGAAGAACAUCAUUUGCAGAUUCGGCAUUCCCAAUGCGAUAGUCACUGACAACGGGCGACAGUUCGACAACAAUAAGUUCAGGAUGUUCUGCUCUAAGUUCAACAUUAACUUAUGUUUUGCCUCACCAGCUCAUCCCCAGUCUAAUGGACAAGUUGAAGCCAUCAACAAAAUAAUCAAGUGAACUUUGAAAACCAGCUUAGACAAGGCUAAAGGUUGUUGGCCAGAAUUUGUACCCCAAGUUCUUUGGUCAUACCGCACUUCGUAUCGGACAUCAACAGAAGAAACCCCAUUCUCACUUGCCUUUGGUACAGAGGCAGUUGUCCCAGUUGAGCUUGAGCAAGCAACGUUCCGAGUCCAGAACUGUGUGCAAAGUGAAAAUGACAAACAACUUACCUUCAACUUAGAUCUAGUCGAGGAACAUAAAAACCAGGCUCACUUGAGGAAUGUCGCCUACAAGCAGCGCAUCUCCAACUACUAUGACUCAAGGGUCAAACCUCGUUCUUUCAAAGUGGGGGACUGGGUAUUAAAGAAAAGAUUACUCUGUGUCAGAGUCCCGAGUGAAGGAACACUUAGUCCAAACUAGGAUGAACCGUUUGAAGUUACUGGCAUCAGUCACCCUGGCUCUUACAAACUUAGAAACUUCGAUGGCAAGACCCUUGGCCAUCCAUGGAACGCUGAUCACUUGAAGUACUAUUACAAGUAAACUCACAUUGCACAAGUGUUAAGCUUCAGCCGUUCGGCAUCCUAGGUAACGAAGACUAUUUAGCAUGAAUUCAAUAAAGAGGUGAUUUAGACAACUCGGUCCUAAUCCUCUUACAUUCCUAGCAAUGAAACACUCGGGUUCAAAGCUUCAACAUGAAUGCUUCCAACAUGAAACAAAGUCUAGGUAUAUGUCAACAAGACUAUACAAAUAAACGAACAGUUUCACAGUAUAUUGGUUCAAUCAUACAUUCCAACACAUUCAUACAUAAGCCAACUGUGCUUUGAAAGGGUUCAACAUACUUUGUGUCGUUCGACACUUGCUACAAUGUGCCUAGACACCUUGCCCUUAUUCUCACCAACCAGGUGAUGAAAUGUGAAGAAGGAACUUAUCUUCAUGCCACCAACCAAGUAAUGAAAUGUACAACCCGUACUCUCUUUCAUGCUACCAACCAGGUGAUGAAAUGUACAACCCGUACUUUAAUAUCAUUUGGGAACUUGCCACUCAUGCCACCAACCAGGUGAAAAAUGAACUCAUCUUCAUGCCACUAACCAGGUGAUGAAAUGUACAACCCAUAUUAUCCUUCAUGCCACCAACCAGGUGAUGAAAUGUACAACCCGUACUCUAAUAUCAUUUGGCAACUUGCCAUUCAUGCCACUAACCAGGUGAUGAAAAGUACAACCCGUACUCUCCUUCAUGCCACCAACCAGGUGAUGAAAUGUACAACCCGUACUCUAAUAUCAUUUGGCAACUUGCCACACAUGCCACCAACCAGGUGAAGAAUGAACUUAUCUUCAUGCCACCAACCAGGUGAUGAAAUGUACAACCUAUACUCUUCUUCAUACCACCAACCAAGUGAUGAAAUGUACAACCCGUACUCUAAUAUCAUUUGGCAACUUGCUAUUCAUGCCACCAACCAGAGGAAGAAUGAACUCAUCCUCGUGCUACCAACCAGGUGAUGAAAUGUGAUGAUAGGUUAUGAAAGAACUCACCUUCGUACCACCAACCAAGUGAUGAAAGCAACUCACCAUUCAUUCCACUUACCAGAAGACGAGUGGUACAACUUGUAUAUGUGAACUCCUAGCAUUCACAAAUAAUCAAAAACCCUCAAGCUUGACAACUCAACUUGGGGAGCACUUAUGCCUAACAAGAGUUAUAGUCACCAACAAAGUCUUAUUGCAAGCCAACAACAACUUCAGUGCAUGGCAUACGAAGAUUAAGCUAUUCAGCCCUCUUGCAUCUGCUUCAAACAUUUCCCCUCUGUAACAAUGCAAACACUACAACUCGUAGAAAGCUUCACAUAUUCUUGAUCAAGACAGUGUGAAGCAAAACCAAUUUAUGGUGCCAACAAGAGCUUCAUCAAUGGAGGGCAACCAUAAUUCUCAAAAGCUUUACACACUCUUGAUCAAGACAGUGUGAAGCAAAACCAAUGUAUGGUGCCAACAAAAGCUUCAUCAAGGGAGUUCAACCACAAUUCUCAAAAGCUUCACACACUCUUUAUCAAGACAGUGUAAAGCAAAACCAAUUUAUGAUGCCAACAAAAGCUUCAUCAAUGGAGGGCAACCACAAUUCUUAAAAGCUUCACACACUCUUGAUCAAGACAGUGUGAAGCAAAACCAAUUUAUGGUGCCAACAAAAGCUUCAUCAAUUGAGGGCAACCACAAUUCUCAAAAGCUUCACACACUCUUGAUCAAGACAGUGUGAAGCAAAACCAAUUUAUGGUGCCAACAAAAGCUUCAUCAAUGGAGGGCAACCACAAUUCUCAAAAGCUUCACACACUCUUGAUCAAAACAGUGUGAAGCAAAACCAAUUUAUGGUGCCAGCAAAAUCUUCAUCAAUGGAAGACAACUACAAUUCUCAAACCUUCGAAACAAUUUCAAGACUGUUCGAAGCAAAUUCAAUUUAUAUGGUUCAUCCAAACCUUCGACUAUUACAAGGUGUGGCUUGCAUCACAAUCUCUUGCUCAAAAGUGUGGAAGGAAAAUUUAUAUAUGUUGUCUCUCCCACAUUUUCAAAUUUCUAGUUUCCCCAAAAAAAAAAAGGGGAAAUUCAACAAAGCUUCAUCAAUGGAGGAUAACUACAAAUUCUCAAAAGCUUCACACUAUCUUGAUCAAGAUAGUGUGAAGCAAAAUCAAUUCAUAGUACCCAACAAAAGCUUCACCCAUAAAAGCUUCACCAACAAAAGCUUUAACUCCAAAGCUUCACCAACAAAAGCCUCAUCAAUGGAGGACAACUACAAAUUCUCAAAAGCUUCACACUAUCUUGAUCAAGAUAGUGUGAAGCAAAUCAAUUCAUGGUACCCAACAAAAGCUUCAAGUCCAAAGCUUCACCUACAAAGCUUCAACACAAAAGCUUCACCAACAAAAGCUUCAUCAAUGGAUGACAACUACAAAUUCUCAAAAGCUUCACACUAUCUUGAUCAAGAUAGUGUGAAGCAAAAUCAAUUCAUGAUACCCAACAAAAGCUUCAACUCCAAAGCUUCACCUAUAAAGCUUCAACUCCAAAACUUCACCUACAAAAGCUUCAACACAAAAGCUUCACGCACAAAAGCUUCAACACAAAAGCUUCAACUCCAAAGCUUCACCUACAAAAGCUUGACCCACAAAUGCUUGACCUACAAAAGCUUCACCCACAAAAGCUUCACCUACAAAAGCUUAACCCACAAAAGCUUCAUCUACAAAAGCUUGACCCACAAAAGCUUCACCUACAAAGCUUCAACACAAAAGCUUCACCUACAAAAGCUUCACACUAUCUUGAUCAAGAUAGUGUGAAGCAAAAUCAUUUCAUGGUGCCCAACAAAGCUUCAACCUUAAAGCUUUACCUACAAAGCUUUAAAAUAUAUAUAUAUAUAUAUAUUUGGAAAUUCGAAAAUUCAAAGAUUCAGAAAUUCGAAAAUUCAAAAAAAAAAAUCGAAAAAAAAAUUUCGGAAAAAAAAAAUUGCCUAGGCCUCCUCUUCUUCGGGCUUAACAACUUUCAUAACAAAUAUAUAUGAAGAAGGAUUUUUGAGCUACCACUUAAAAAGGAAAUGCCUCAUUCGUCAACUCCCUCGACCGGAGACUUGGGGGACUCCUACCAUAUGCUACUGCACCUUAAUACUCGGAAGUCUCACGACCACUCAGUGACUUGGAUUUUUCAAGUCUCCAAACGAGAAGUUUUCCUCACUCAGGAAAUUAAGGGAGCACUACCUCAAUCUACAUGCUUCACUCACAAAGCCUUAACAUACAAACUUCAACAAAAGGAAAAAUUUAAAGAACUUAGUGAAGAAAGCCAUGGUGUAUUUAACACAAUACGUUGAAAUGAAGCAAAGCUUGUUUAUUGAUAUCUGUGAUAAGUUACAAAUCUAUACAUAUACAUGAAUCAAAAUAAACAAACAAGAAGGAGCCUUUACAAAGGUUGCUCAGAAGAAGUCUCAGCAGUCGGCAGAGCCCCAGAAAUAGGAGGCAUUAGAGGGUGAUUAUUCGGAGCCUCAGUACUAGGCAGAACCCCAGAAUGAGGAGGCACCAAAGGUUGAUUAUUUGGAGCUUCAUUACGCGGUACAGCCCCAGAAGACGAAGGCAAUAAAUGCCUUUGGAACAAACCCACAAACCUCUGAUGAUCAAGUAAAAUCUGACCAUCAAAUUCUUGCAGCUGGUCGAGCUUCCUCUUCAUGUUUGUAGUAUAGUCAUGUGCAAGCCUGUGCAACUGUUUAUUCUCAUGCUUGAGCCCCCUGAUCUCCUCUAAUAGGCGUUGGGCCAUAUUAGACACAUAACCUGCACACUGAACACUGAGAGCCAGAGAAUCCUUAACAGCCAACUCAUCAGACCGUUUGGAAAGUAGUCUGUUAUCUUUGGGAGUGAGAAGGUUCCUGGCCACCAUUGCAGUGGUUAUAUCAUUCUUUAUCACAGAGUCCCCAACGGUAAGAGGACCAGUUGGGGAUAAGAAGGAUGGGUGCCAUAUGUUGUCUUGAGAAGGCAUGGUUGCCUCUUCACCAAAGUUCAAGUCAAAACGACGGUCGGAUGGGCCAGACAUUCUAAGAAAUGAUGAAAGAGAAAUGAGGUGCGAUAAAUCUCUAAAGUAAGGGGAAAAUUCCUACAAGCAAUAACUCUCUGAAUGUACUUCUUACACACAAUUGGUGCCCUUAUAAAAGAAAGGGCAGCAGGGCCAUUGGUUCAAAAAUCGAAGAGGUUCCACUCUCUAGAUUUCGAAGAAGCACCAUUUUCCACACGCAACAUCAGCUCCUCGGGUACCACAGAUAACUUUGCUAAAGAUCUCUGACAAAGUUUAGACACAUAAAUUUUGAAGGUCCAGCUACCCUACUAUUACCCACAAGGGUAAAGGAACAGCACCACUGCUUGAUAACUACAAAGUCCUAAUAUGUGUCAACCUUCGGGCUCCGUGGCAAGGCAGACUGAUAAAAAUGCCCAACCUUUACUCACAUUCGAGAAAACACUCCCAACAGGAUUGCUUGUUCGAAAACCAAAGAGGCACCACUCUCCGAACUUCGAGAGCCAGAUUUCCUUGGAUAAAGCUUGUCUGCAAUCUUCACACGCAACAUCAGCUUUCCAGAUACCACAGACCACUUUUUCAAAGCGCUCUGACAAAGUUAAAACAUGUGAAGCUUGCAGCUCCCACUACAUUGCUAUGACCAGGAAGGGUAAAGGAAUAGCAUUAUUACUUGCUCAAAAAUUGAAAAGGCAUUGCCCUCCAAAUCUCGAGAGCCAGACUCCCAACAGGAUUACUUUCUCAAAAAUCGAAGAGGCACCGCUCUCCGAAUCUCAAGAGCCAGACUCCCAACAGGAUUGCUUUCUCAAAAAUCGAAGAGGCACCGUUCUCCGAAUCUCGAGAGCUAGAUCCUUGACAGGAUUGCUUGUUCGAAAAUCAAAAAGGCAUCGUUCUUCGAACUUCGAGAGCCAGAUUUCCUUGGCUAAAGCUUGUCUGCAAUCUUCACAUGCAACAUCAGCUUUCCAGAUACCACAUACCACUUUUUCAAAGUGCUCUGACAAAGUUAAAACACGUGAAACUUGCAGCUCCCACUACAUUGCUACGACCAGGAAGGGUAAAGGAAUAGCAUUACUACUUGUUGUUAGGGAGACUCCUAUAUAUGUCGACCUCCAUCCUCCACGAACAGGCAGACCUGCAAAAAUGCUUAACCCUUCCUCAUAUCUGAGAGGGCACUCCCAACGAAGCCUCUCGAAAUACUCAGCUUUCUUCCCCCCUCAAUAAUACCUAUGCAAACCAAUCACACCAAAGCAAAAGUAUCUUAUAUCAUCAGGGUCAAAAGCAAGAGUAUCCCAUAUCAUGUUUUUUCCCUAUCUUUUCAUUUGCCCUUGUUCUUACCUGUAAGACAAAGAGAAUGAGAGCAAUCAGUCAGCACUUGGAAUCAAGCUUCCAGUCAGGAACUGACUGCCUGGAACCCCUUGCCUGAUUACUUACCUGGCAUUGCUCUCGAGUACUCAUCUUCAACAUCUUAUGCUUCCAGAAAAGAUAUAACAUCUGCCUGAGGAACAGAUGGGGCAAGUGAGAAUGAUACAAUGAAGCAUGUGGAGACAAGCGCAACAGAACACAUGCUGAUUCAUCUAUUACUUCGUCAACAGCAAAAGUAUCCCAUAUCAUCAAGGUCGAACGCACUCUUGAUUUGAUGGACUUGUUUUGACACUCAAAUUCUUGAGUCAGCCUUAUACUCUGGAGGAAACCAGAAAACCCUCCAGCCCAGUUCAAGAAUAAGCCUGUGGAAAGUUACUUCUUCAAAAGAAAAAGUAUCUCAUAUCAUAUCUUCUCCAUUUGCUUCUCCUUAUCCUUGUUGUUGUUUACGACAUAAGGAGAAAGAGAACAAUCAACCGAAAGCCGAAGUCGAACCUUCGAUCCAGGUUGUUUGCUUGGAAGUCUGAUUGCUUACCUUGUUUGUUAUCUCUUUCAGCAAAUCUCCUAGCUCGGCGACUUAGGAGACUCCUACUAUAGGGUUUUGUAUUGCACUUGACCAAGCCCGAAACUACAAGCUUCAAGUAAAAUUGAUACAUUACCUUGUACAUCUUCAUCGAUUAAAGAUACCACUCCUGGAUGGAGGAAAAGUACUUCCAGACAAGAUGCCACAUCUACGUAUGAGACAGAUAAGGCAAGUGAAAAUGAUACCACACUUCGGUACUUAGAAGUUUCAUGAUUACUCAAUGGCUUGGUUUUUGCAAGUCCCCAACCGAGGAGCUUCCCUCACUCAGGAACUUAGGGGAGCACUAUUUGUAUCAUACUUGACCAAUCCCGAAACUACUGAGCACCGGUCAACGUUAUACCGUCAAGGACCCAGAAGAGUUUCCCUAUGACUAGGAGGCCAAUCACAGCGUAACACGUGUCGACAUCAUAAGCCAAUCAUAGCGCGACACGUGUCAACAUUAGAAGCCAAUCACAACACAACACGUGUCAAUGUCAGAAUGAAACUAGAAACUCUCUUCUAUAAAUAGAGAUCAUUCUCUCACAAUAUUUCCUAAUGUCAUUUGUACUAAAUCAUUCACUAGUACUCACUGAAUGAGAGCUUGAACCUAUGUACUUGUGUAAACCCUUCACAAUUAAUGAGAACUCUUCUACUCCGUGGAUGUAGCCAAUCUGGGUGAACCACGCACAUCUUGUGUUUGCUUCCCUGUCCCUAUCCAUUUACAUACUUAUCCACACUAGUGACCGGAGCAAUCUAGCGAAGGUCACAAACUUAACACUUUCUGUUGUACAUGUGCAUCAACAAUAAUCAUUUUAGAAGACCUAAGAUAAAUUAUUUUGAUAAUAAAAAAUGGAACUCCUUAGAAGAAGAAGAGGAAAAUAAAUAGUUUUAGCUGAAAACAUUUAUCCCAUGAAGAAUAAGCACAAGAGUUUAUUAGAAAAGGUUUUGAAAGAACUUUAAUUGGAAUUGCGUGAUUAACUAGAGCACAAGUAGGCACAAAAGCACUAAUGUACAUAUAUGGUGAUAGAUGAGAUAAUCACCAGCAAGCAUUAAUAGCAAUAGCUGAAGUAGAUUUAAGUUCAAAUUUAGAAGUCAUAGGUCGUUUUCCUAAUUAUGUUAUGACAAUUAAUGAAUUUAGUAAAUUUAUUAAAGUAAGCAUAAGAACAAAAAAAUUAUAAUAUGAAAAGAGAAUAUAAAAAUUUAUAUAUUAGCUUAAUGUACAUAGAAAAAGUGUCUGAUAAAUAUAAUCCUAAGUUUAAUUUAGAGUUUCAAAAUUUAGUUCAAACAUUUUAUAGUAAACAGUAAAUAUGUAAAGGCAAAACAUGUAGAUAAGAGAUUUUUGGAAGAAACUCAGUGGACAUAACCUAAUUUACAUGUAGCAAGAAAUAGAUAGGUAGAUAGUGUGCAAAUAUAUGAAAGUAGUACAUGAGAGACAACAAUCAGAUUUAGUAAUUACAAGCAAUUAGAAAAUUUAGAAGAGGAUGCUAGUGAAAUUGAAAGUAUUCGUGAAAGUAUUCAUUGGACUUUUGAUAAUUUAGAUGUUAAUUUAGUUGAACAAAUUUUGAUCAUAUUGUAGAUAAACUCAUAGAAGAUAUUGACAAUUUAGAUGAAGAACGGUAUUUAGAAAAAUAUAAGACAUAAUUUAGGACUACUUAGAUGAAAAAAUGAAAAAAAAUUAAAUUUAGACAUAGGUGUAUAACAUAUUUUAGAAAAAAGUAGUACAUCAAGAAUAUAAAAUAAUCCAAGAUAUACUACCAAGACUGAUCAAGGAUAAGCUAAUAUUUAUACAUAUUUUACAUCAAGUUUAUUAGUCUUUUCUUAGUAAGUUCCUUAUAUUUUUAAGCUAUUGACUUUGUUUUUGUGUUUUGUAGGAUUUUUCAAGCAUAAAAGAGAAAAUGAGCACAAGUAGGAAUUUAAAUAGCAAAUUCGUCAAAAACUGCUUGUGCAAAUCAACUGACUUUGGCAGUGAUUUACAAACAGCUCAAAAUGAAUCAAAGAAUGAGCCUUAUAGUCUUGGAAAGUUAUAGAUGUUUAUUUUCUGGACCAUUUUACGACUUGUUAAUGUCAUUUUUCUAGAAGAAGUUGUGUCUGUUUUAACACUGAAAGGUUCUCAAGAAGUUGAACAUUUUUUAAUUGACAAUGAAAGCAAUAAACAGAAUAAAUCCUAGCAGCCACAGUUGAUGCAUCCAAGAAAACCACAAGUCUUAGUACUAAUUAGAAUUGAAUUCUCGUGAUGGUGGGAACCAUAACACAUUUGGAAGGUUAUGAAAAGGAAAGAAAAGAAGCGAAGUGUGGAGAGGAGGAAAGAAGGCAGCAAGAACGUGAAGAAGGCAAGGUAGCAGGGAGUAGAAUCAAAGGAGAAGAGACUUCACUCUAUUCUUUUGGUUUUAUCUUCUCAAACUCAUAAAUUUCUUUUGGUUUAAUUUAGGAAUUAUGUGUAACUAAACCUCUAGAAGUUAGGGGCUGUUUUGAAACCCCAAAUAUGAGUGCAAUUUAGUAAUGACAUUUUGUUUGAAUUUCUUUUAUGAAGAAUGAAAAUUGGUUUACUACUUAUGUCAGUGAUGAGUUCUUUAUAUGUUUUCUAUGAAUGCAUACUUAAUAAACAUAUCUACGAUUCUAAUGCUAUGAAAAUGUAUGUGUCUGCCCUUACCAAAUGAAGACCUACAUAUGCUUUAGAGUAGUACUUGUUAAUUGUGAUUAGCAUGUGAAUCAAUAACUAGGAUAAGUAAGACAAGUGAUGACUCAAACUCUUUUUGUUCUUAAUGAUUUCUACUUGUUAAAUCUAUAAACACGUCAUUCUAGAUUGUAUGUUAGGGACUAAGUUAAGUUGAAAACAUCAUUCUCUUAACAUACUAUGUAAGAGAGAGUAAUAAGUUUGAGUUCUAAUAGCCAGCCAACUUGAGCAUUUUCAUCUAAAAAUAAAAGGAAUUUUAAUGAAACAUAACAUGUUUGCAUGAUUAUUUGGUGGUGGAUAACACUUCCCCUAAUUUGUUUUCUGAAUUUGUGAACUAAAUCUGUUUUUGAUAUUUUAUCAUUGUUCAUGUUCUGUUGUUGUUGGAUUUAAUUAACAAAGCAAAUAAACUCCAAAAAUCUUAAAUAUUUGAGUGAAUGUACCUCUAUGGGUCUAGUGUCUACAUAUAAAAUUUCGUUGAAUUUAAAUAAGUGUAAGCUAGUCUAAUAAUUAUUUUUGGGUGGCUGGUUAAUAGGAACAGCAUCCCAGUUUUUGUGAAAUUUUAAGUUGUUAGGUAAAACAAUAUUCUAUGGGUAAGAUCAUUAUUUUCAUUUGCUACAAUUGACAAGGGAAAAUCAAUAGGGCAUUUGUGUGUUACUCUAUGGUGUGCCUAUGUGUGCUACUCCACAACACCAUGCGAAGUAGAUCUAACAAAUCAAAUAGCUUGACCCCUUUACAUAUAGAUCUAAAAGAGAUCCAUCAUACCAAGAUGAAAAAGAAAAUGAAGAACUAUCUUAAAGAAAAAAACAAACAUACAAGCACACUCCUAGUAUGUUUCUGAAAAUUAAUAUACACAAUCAAACUAAAAGAACCCAACUAUGCCUUGACUCCACAUCCUCAAAAAACAAACAUACAAGCACACUCCUAGUAAGUUUCUGAAAAUUAAUAUUACACAAUCAAACUAAAAGAACAAAACUAUGCCUUGACCCCACAUCCUCUUCGCAUCUCAAAAAGACGCAUAGCAUUGUACCGCCAGACACAAUCCGACAACUUCAACAUCCUUGGAGCUCCAAACCCCAAAUCGAAAGUGGCAGCUAGAUGGGCCAAAAAAUGGCGAUUAUCUUGACGCUUACAAAGUUACAAGUUUCAUAGUGACGAUUCUACACCAAAAAAAUAAAUAAACAAGUGGAAAGGGAGAAUAAACAAAGGAGUGCCGCUAGUUCUAUGGCCAAAGGCAUGGCUGCAUAUAAAAGAGAGAUUUUUAACUAUUUUGUCCUUAAAAAAAAAAAAAGAGAUUUUCAACUAUUUUGAUUGAAUAAUUUUUGUGGAUUUCUCAUUACGUGAAACUACAUUAGAAAAAUAGCUACAAAAGAAUAUACAAUCAAUUACAAGAUAGAUCUCUACUUUUCUAAUAAACCACCAUUGGAUUGUAUUAAAAGAUAAUGUUGAAAACAUAGUUAGUAAAAUAUAGAAAGAACGGGUAUAAUACAUGGAAAUAUGUACAUAUAUUAUUUGGCAACUUAACUCAAAAUUUACUUCGAAAAUUUUAGCCACUUUUUGUUAAAUUAAUAUUUAUUUAUUUCAAUUAAUCAAUUAUAUUUCUUAAAAAUGCUUAAAAUACAUGUAGAUUACGUGAAUUUUGUGUGUAUUAUUGAAAAUCAUUGUUCUAAAAAUCUCCGCCUAGGCGUUAGGUGGCUAGCCACCUCUCCGAUUAAUGCCUAGGUGUUUGAAAAUUAAGAAAAGACGCCUAGACUUGUUGAGGCACUCCAAACCCGCCUAGGUUGUGACUCACUUAGACAGAAAAUAUAUAACUUUCAUUUUGCAUUUUAUUUUUUUUCAAUAAAUUGUAAGAGACUUGUUAGAUACUUAAAGGGUAAAUUACACAAUACCCCCUCAAGUUUGAGGUAUAUUACAAUCGCAUACAACAUCUUCAAAACAUUUCACUUUCAUACCUCAACUACUAUUUUAUUUCAAUAUAGUACCUCCGUUACAUUUUCCAUCCAUUGAUCUGUUAAAAGCUGACGUGGCUGCCACAGUUGUGCCACAUGGUAAAAAAUAAAUUUUUAUUCGUUUAUAAUAUUAUAAUAAUUUACCCUUGGUUGUAAAUAAUGGAUGUCCACUCAUCCACUCAACAAGUGGAUGUCCAAGAAGCUUGCUCAACACUACUCAUUUUUUCUAUAAAAGCAAACCCCACACAACAUCAAGUGGGUGAUCCACGGGAGAGAUAGGAAGGAAGAGAGGAAGAGAGAUAGGAAGGAAGAGAGGAAGAGGAGAGGAGAUAAUAGAGAGAGUUAUCUUUGUACUCCUAUUAUUCCAAAUUAUAAUGAAAGCACCACUGCUGCCCCGAGGAUGUACUAUAGUCACACUGACUGUAGAGGAACCUCGUAAAUUUUGUGUCUUGUUUAUUUAUUCCACUGCACACACCGUCGAUUUUACAACACGUUAUCAGCACGAGAAGCUCUCAUAUCAGUGGAAAGCACAACGCCACAAAUCUUGUUCACCUCCUUCAGCUGGAAUCUCACAGAUAAGAAAAUCUUUUCAUUUCAUCUUCAAAUCUCAGUACAAUUGAUUUUCUUGAAGCAACUACAUAUAUUGUUGUAUGAUUAUAUAUCAUCAUUUGCAGAAGCAAAGAGUACAGACUCAAAAUUCAUAGAGAAUUGGGCAGCCAUGUAAACAGCCAAGAAACUCCAAUUUGUGGACCUCGGAUUGAAAUACUUUCUUCUUAAAAGUUGUUCGUCCACUCAAUAUCUACAACAUAUCAAAAUUUCAGUAAACUUUAACAGUGCGAUCGUCGCAGAUGUCUGAAAUACCAAACCAGUUUCCAAUUUCUGUAGAAAACUAGAUAGCAACCUUAUGAGUACCAAAACUCCAUUUCGGUAGAUCAGAUCGAAAUUGUUUCUUCACGAAAGUUGUUCAGUAUCCUCUUAUCCACAUCAUACUAAAAUUUGAACUAAAUCCAAUAGUUUGAUCUUCUCAUAAGUUGCAGACACUCUUGACUCCAUAACUUAUAGGAACCGUUUCGACCUUUUCGAAACUCACCGGAGGAGGAACACCAAUUGGAACCUAUUGUUACUAUUAUUUCCUGAGUAACCAAAAUGACUUCAGAACUGUGAAAUAAAAAUAAAAAUAAAAGGAAUCAAACAAAAGAAGUGGCAGACCAAGAAAAAGAAAAAGCAAAAGAUGAGGACUUAAUCAUUGCAUUUUCUGUUUUGGCAUAUUUAUGUGCAUGGUGUUGGUUUAAAGCCCAUGUCACAAGUUCUAUUUAUUUAAAGUAAUUUAUUUACACUGGGUAGAAUUAUUACCCUUUGCUUUAAAGCUUUGAUAUUUAUGUGCAUGGCGUUGGUUUAAAUCUCAUGUCACAAGUUCUAUUUAUUUAAAGCAAUUUAUUUACAGUGGGUAGAAUUAUUACCCUUUGCUUUAAAACUUUGAUAUUUAUGUGAAUGGUGUUGAAUCGAAGCCCUUGUCACAAGCUUUAUUUACUUUAAAGCAAUUUAUUUACCAUGGACGGUUUUACCACCUAUUGCUUUAAGUUUUGAUGGUGCUGAAUUAAAGCCCUUGUCACAAGCUUUAUUUACUUAAAUGCAAUUUAUUCAUUAUGGCUGGAAUUACCGCAUAAUGCUUUAAUUUAUUUAUUGUACUUAUCCUUUGUUACGACGAAUCUAUACAGGACCUGAACUUCCUUGAUCAGAUCAGAACCUGCAGUUUCUUGAUCUUCAUCAUAUAAAAAUAAUUGGACUUGAAGUUCCAUCACGCAAAAGGAUCAUGUAUGAAGUCCCUUGAUCCUGAAGAUCAAGACAUGAAGUUCCUAGAUGAGUACCGUAAGUUUGAAGCGUUGUAGUGCCUCAACUUAAUUGUAAUAAAGAACAUAAGAGUCUCAGUUCACAGACUAUUAAAUAAGGACCAGAAAUUCCUCAUGUCCAUACUCAAAAUGGUUUAGCAGAAGCAUUCAUUAAGUGGGUGAAAUUGAUUACCAACGCUCUGCUCAUGAAAACGAAAUUGCCAGUUUUCUACAUAGGGACAUGUAAACUUUACAUGAUGCAUUAUUAAUUCGGUUGAGACAUGUUACCGACCAUCACUACUUCUCAGUACAACUCGUGUUUGGGAACUAGCCAAACAUUAUACAUUUACGAUUUUUUGGUUGUGUUAUUUAUGUGCCUAUUGCACUGCCGCAACGUACUGAAAUGAGGCAUCAUCGUGGAUUAGGCAUUGAUGUUGAACACCAUCUAUCAUUCAAUAUUUGGAAUCCUUGACUGGGGUUAUGUUUACCGCGUGGUUUGCGGACUAUGAUUUUGAUAAGACAGUUUUCCCGCCAUUAGGGGGAGAAAAUAACAUUGUUCCAGAAGAACAAUGAGAAAAUAUCAUUCCAGAAGAAUGAUAAGAAAAGACCGUUCCAGAAGAACGAAGAGAAUUUGUCUUAUUUUGAUUCACGAAGCAAACAAUGAGAAAAUGAAAUAGGAAUAAUUGAAUGAUGCAAUGAAAGUGAUGAAAUCAUAUAUACUUGCUGCAAAUAUGCCUACAAGAAUUGAUGUCCCUGUUGGACAAAAUAAUGAGACAGUAAAUGAUUUAUCUGUUGCACGCCUGAAGCGUGGCAGACUUUCAGACUCAAAAGGUUUAGUCAUUUGAAAGAAGAAGAAUAUGGCACUACUGAACUAUUGCAUUCCCGAAGCAUAACUGUUGCUUGCCAGAAGCAUGACAGAUGCCGCAUGGAUACACGUCCCAGAUAGGACAAUCCACGGACAUGGGAAUAUUGAUGUCUCAUGCAUGAAACAUGAUAGGCGUAUAGGUUCCAAUGACUCAACUCCCAGAAGUGGAGAUUAAAAUCCAAGCUCUAUAACGCUCAAGAAGAGGUUAUGAUCCACAUUCUUUAAAUUACGACUAUCCUAGAAGAGAUAGUGUAAUGCCCUUGAAGAGGCAAUGGAUAUCCAAAAGAAAUGAAAAGCUUUUAUGCAUGCGCAUGCACAUGAGAAUAUGGGAUCACGGAUUGAUGAUAACCAAUGGUAAUUUUGGUUUUUACAAGUAGCUACUAAAUUCAUCAAUGAGUUGUGUUAAUAUUGAGUCAUGUUCUUUUGUUCAUCGACAAAAGGAAAAUUAUUGGCCAAAAAUGGAAAAAGGCAAUUCCAUUACAAUUUUGUAAGAACAUGGAAAAAUGGACCUAUAUAUAUUUGAAUACAAUACAAAUAGCCAAAAGAUGUUGAACCAAGGAGGUUACAUAUGGGCAUUUGUAAUACAGUGAAUUACACUCACAUGAUAUGACAAAAGGUUACUAAUUGAAACUUGAAAUUAUACUCUUGUAAAUGAGUUCAUAUGAAUGGAGAAUUAUAUAUAAAGGGUUGUGAGUCGCCCACAUCAUAUCUCCAUAAGUAAAUCCCUCAAGUAUACAUGGGAGCAAAUUGCUCUGUAUAAAUUCCAAAGGAAAAUGUGUCAUGAAGUAUAGAAAAUCCUUGAAGGAUUCAAAUUGUUUAAAGUAAGCCCCUGAAGGGUAAGGCAUAAAUUAUGUACUCAAUACCAAUGGAUGGUAUAAAUUGCCUUAGUGAGUACUAUCAUUAUGAUAUUGUUGCAACAUACUAAAAUCUCUUGCAAGAGUCAAUGACAUUAAAUUAGAACUCUUGAAGAGUUGAUGAUAUUAAAUUGAGACUCCUGAAGAGUAAAGAAAGAUUAUAAAGUGUUGAGAGAAAUAUUGUCUCGAGCUGCAGAUCGAACAAUCUACCAACACGAAUCUUAUCCAUGAUGUCUAUGAUAAUAAAAGAACCAUAUGGAUUGAAGAUUAUGAGUUGAAUACUCAAAUGAUGUAAACACUAAGAAAGAUCAUUUAUCUUCGUGAGGGUGAAGAAAAAUGGAUAUUUGGUCCAGAAGUACCACAUCUUAGUGAAGUAUAUGCUUUAUUGUAUUUGGCACAAUACAUUGAAUGAAAUAAAGCUUAUUUAUUAAAAUCUCCAAGAAAUUAUAGAUAUGUACAUACACAUGAGUUAAAACAAACAAAUAGGAUGGAGCCUUCACAAAGGUUGCUCAUGUGAAGUCUCAUUACUCGGAAGUACCCCAGAAGGGGGAGGCACUGGAGAUUAAUCAUGUGGUACCCCAGUACUUGGCAAAACACCAGAAGGGGAAGGCAUCAGUUGCUUUCGAAAUCUAGCAACGAACCUCUGGUGAUCACUUUGAAUCCGACUUUUGGAUUCCUGCAGCUGGUCGAGCUUUCUUUUCAUGCUCGUCGAGUAAUUAUUUGCAAGAACGUGUAACACUCUAUUCUCGUGCUUGAGCCCUCUAAUCUCUUGUUUAAGACUUGUCACCUCAACCAUCAAUGAUUCAACUUGGUGAGUUUGAGCAAGUAGGCGUUGGCCCAUAUUGGAAACAGAGCCAGCACACUGAACACUGAGAGCCAAUGAGUCUUGAACAGCCAACUCGUCAGACCGUUUUGAAAGGAUUCUGUUAUCCUUUGGAGUGAGAAGAUUCCUAGCUACCACAGUAGCGGUUAUGUUAUUCUUCAUCACAAAGUCCCCAACCGUAAGAGGACCAUUAGAAGAUAAGAAGGACGGGCGCCAUAUAUUAUCCUGACGCUGCUCGUCUGUAUCACUCCUAAGACUCAAAUCUAAGCAAAUGUUAGAUGGGUAAGUCAUUUUCAUAAAUGAUGAAGAAAAAAAUGGUCAAAUAAAAUUUCAAAAGUGCAAGAAGAGGGAAAUUUCUCAGGCAGCAACUUUCUGAGCAUACUCUUGAACACAAUGGAUGUCUCUAUAAAAGAAGAGGCAAUAGAGCCACUUGUUCAAAGAUCGAAGUGGCACGGUUCUCCGAAUUUCAAAAGCCAGAUUUUCCUGAAUAAAGUACAUUGGCAUUUUUCAGACGCAAUCUUAGCUUUCCGAAUAUCGCGUGCAACUUUGUCAAAAAUCUCUGACAAAGUUGAAAACGCGUAAAUCUUACUGUUCUAUUUACACCAUAGUUGCUGACAAGAGUGAAAGCACAGCACCACUACUUGCUAUUAGGAAAUCUCUAUAUAUGUCGACCUCUGUUCUCCAUAACAAGGCAGACCUACAAUAAUGUGUUGGAAAUGUGCCCUAAAACCAAUCAUGUGAUGAUACUUUACGGACAUUUCACAUGUUAAACUAAUCUAGUUUAAUAUAAAGGGCAAAGAUUAUUGUUUGAGCCGUCUCAUAUAAAUGUUAUAUGCUUAAACGAUAAAGUCCAAGGAAUAUGUGAUUGGAAGAAUGUAAUCUAAUGAAGUUAGAUUCAUGAGACCAUUCUUUCGUAGACACAUCCUAAAUGUUCCUGAUCAUAGGAUUGCCAAUUGGGCAUUGACAGUCCGUCAAGAUCGGUACGUGCUAUGUCUUCUCUCAGGGAGAGUGACUAGUCUCGAGUCAUUGGUGUGUGUGACGUCAAGACAAGUACGUAGGUGCUCAGUAGAGAAUGAGUUCACUGAACGCGAUCAACGAAGAGUUCUCAUACUCAUGUCACAUGAGAACUCAUGUUUGGGAUAAUGCAAAUUAGUCCUUUGACCUGAGGCAUCACAGUUGUCUUGUGGUUAAGUCCUUGAUCUUUGAUUAUGUCAAUGUCACCCCAUCGGGGUGUCCACGGCAUCGUUGGGGGUUAAGCCACUUAGUCAUGGAGGCAAGUGAAUGCGCAACAAGGGAUCUCUAACCUUCAAACCGUUUGAGGGAGAAUACUCUAUGAUAUGAUUUAGAAUCUCUGGCCAGAGUAUGAUUGAGAUUUAGAAAAGUCGUUCUAAAUCACAUUCAAGGAAAUCAUAUAAGAACACGAAUCACAUUGGAUAGUAGACAUGAAUAAAUAAACUAUCAAACCAAACAAUGUGGUCAGGAGUAUUAGAUUAGAGAAAGACCGUAUUGCAUUUGUAAUCCUAAACUGAAUAGGUUCUUAACCUCUUCUGAUUACCUUGGGUAACCAUGACAUACGGCUAGGUGUCACUCAUGGUUUGUGGAAGCCCUAAAAGUGUAUUAUCACUAAAGGGAGAAUUGAAAGUAAGUUUCAAUUCAUAAUCGAUUUGAAAGAGUUUUGAUCGCCCACUGCCUCGCUAAAAGGAACCUAAUGGAUUGUACACCGUAUAAGGUGGAGAUGGAUGAAACAAACUAAAUGAGUAAGAAUAAUUGAAUAGUUUAAUUAUUUAUGGCAAGGAUUAAUUAAUAUGUUAAUUAAUCAAACGAAUAAGUUCGUUAAAGACCUCGGGAUAGGUUUUGGACCUUAAGGCCCAAUGGGCUUCGAACGUCAAGCCAUUGACUUAAGUUGUAUGACAACUUAAUGAAUAAUGAUUCACUAAGACCCAAAAGCCCAAACAACCCCCAUGGCCGGCCAUAUAGAGAAAGGGUAGUGAACUUGCUUUAAUUACAAGUUUGCCACUCAAAUGAAUAAAGGUAUAAAUAUGACUUUAUAGCCUUUUAUUCAAAAAGGGUUUGUUUUGGGGAAAAUUGGUGAGAAUUGUCUCUCCAUUUCUCUCUAGAAAAGCCGGCCACCAUGGAAGUUGUAGCUAGCCAUCUAUUCUUCCAUGGUCACUCAUUUAUCAUCCAUGCUCUCCUUGGUGUAGAUCCAUCCAUUUCCAUGGAUCUAAGAUGCAAGGAAUGAAGGCCCUAUCUCUUGGGUGAUUAGCCUUUGUUUAAAUACAAAGAGGAAUCUACAAAGGUAUAUAUUUCAACUCACUUUGUUUUGAGUCGUUUAUUGGUUCACCAAUCUACUAGGCUUUGAAUUUCAUGGUUAAAGUUUUGUUUUUAAGUGCAUGCAAGCAUGAUUCCGCCUUUAAUUGUUAAUUGCAUGCUUAUUGAUGUUGCUUAAAUGAACUUGUUUUCACAAAAUAUUCCUUCAAGUGGUAUCAGAGCCUAGGUCUAGUAGUUGGUGAAUCCUUUUGUGUUUUGUAGUUCAUAGUUUGUGAUUUAAAAGUUGUAAUUGUUACAAGCUUUAUUCUUGUUUCUUUGAAUGUAAAUUUUGCUAGAAAAUUUGCCAUCUCAAAUGUUGUAGAUGUAGUUCAUAUGAGCAUGAAUAUUGGAGCUAAAAUUUGGUGCCAUGACUUUGGGAAAAUUCGGCCAAAUCCAAAGGGUGGAUUUUUGGGUUCUUGUUUGACUUGUUAAAAGUGUUUUAAGGUGACUUUUGGAACCCCUAUGUACCCUAGUUUGGUUAGAUGUUAUUUCCCUUAAGUUUGAAUGGUUUUGGGAAUGUUUUUGGGUGAAAAAUGUUCAUGAAAAAUUUUGGGUUUUUCAUGAAUGUUCUUCAUUGUUCUUGACAUUUUUGCCAAGAACAAAAAGGUUUGUGUUUUGAUUCAAAGUUUUGAUUUAUUACAUAAAGUUUAUGUUUUAUGUUUUUCAAAUGUUUUAAUGCAUAAGAUUUAUUUGAAGGGUGAUGGAAAUGGUGAUGGGUGUGUAAGGAUUAAUUUCCUUUCACACACACCACUUGCACCACUUGUUGCUUUAUGUCUAAAACUCACAAAUCAACACACACAUCACUCUAUCCUCUUCCAAAACCGGCCACCCUUGCAAGUGGGGUACUUUUGGGUCUUUUAUGCAAUUACAUAAAGUUUUGAUACUUUUGUGUAUUUGCACUUUGGCCCAAAAGUUUACGUUUUUACGUUUAGGUCCAAAAACGCUAAAGGACAAAUUGUUUUGCUCCUUUAAUGAAGUUUUUGCAUUGAUUAAAUUUUGGGUUCUAUUGUAAUUACAUGAAGUAGUGGACUUUUGUGUCUUUACAAAGUGACCCCAAAAGUUUUGCAAUAUAGCCCAAAAGUUGAGGUUAAUUGCUUUAUGGCCCAAAAGUUGUGGUUAUUGCAUAUUGGCCCAAAUUAAGUAGAGAACAAAAUUGUUUUGUCUCUUUAAAUGAGAAUUGGAUUUUCAUUUUGUUUAGCUCCAUUUAAAUCAAUUUUAUGGAUACAAAAACCAAAUGAAAAUGUUGCAUUCAAUUUAAUUAGUUAAAGUGUUAAUUAAUUAAAGGGUGAUUAUGAACCUAAGCCUAAUAUAAUUGAGCUAUGUGAUAGGCCGUUUCAAAUUUGUUUGAACCAUGGGAAUGUGUAGAUUAGAUUUUGGUUGUAAUUUGAUUUGAUCAAAUGUUGUAAAAGGGCUUAAGCUCUUCUUUACUUUAAAGUAAUUUAUAUUAUGCAAAUGUUGUAAUGAGCAUAAGCUCACCUUUACUUUGAAGUACUUCUUUCUUGCUUUAUAUGAUAUGCAUGAAAAUGAAGUAGUUGGGUCCAACGCCCCUAAGACAACACGCCUUAAUGUGAUUAAACGCGUAACUAAAAUCAAUCACCAUCCCUAGACCGAGAUUCAACACAAGGCUCGUGUUGAAUCUAAACCAAGGUUCAUAGUCAUCCUAAGGCCCUAAGGCAAUUAUAUAGUCCAUCAAAUGAAUGCAAAGGUUAUGUUAGUAGUAUCAUAUACUCUUGCUUUAAAAAACCGUUUUAUAAGCAUAGUGGGAGUAUUAUAUACAACUAAAAACAAUCAUAUGGACCAAUAGUUGUAAUAGGACCAAAAUUGUUUUAAUAGAGAUUAAAAUUGAAUAUUUGUAUGUGAUGAGACCUAAAACCCUCAACCAAACCAUUAUUAAGUUGAUAAGCGUGAGAGUGCUUAGAACACUCUUUCGUAGGCCUUCCACCGUGGUGGGCUCCAAUCGUUUAUGACUUGUACACCGGCUUCACCCUAUCAUGGGGGAGUACAAAGUGCAUGCUUAUACUCAGGAGGAAUCCAUAAACAUAUGAUGAGGUUAGUGUAGGCAACGAGGAUAGCCGACAUCGUAUCAUCGUGAGGCUAUUCUUGAACCCCUUCACGAACUAAGCAUGGUGGGAAUGACUUAACUAAGUGCAAUGGAACCAACAUCAUAUCAUUGUGAGGUGACAUUCUCUAGAGGCCAAAUAAGAUGGGUACUUGCAUUAGUUGCAAAUGAGUAAGUGUACUCUCUCAUUAUUAUUAAUGCUAGCCAACAUCAUAUCAUUGUGAGGUGGGCUUGGUAAUAGUGAGUCUCCCAUAACCUACUAAGAGUUUCAUCCAAAACUCUCGAAUUCCAAUGAGGGAUAUGGAAUUUGCCAAAAAUAGUGGGUGGUGCUAUUUUGAUUUAAAGACCCGAAUCAAAUGGCUUAAAAUCAAUCUAUUUAUAUUCGUUAUGUAUUUGUUUACCAAUAUAUUUGCAAACGCUAUCCAACACUUGACAAAUAAAAACCGAAUGUUUUAGUUUCCGGACUUGGUACCACAAUCCCAAAGAAUGUCUUAAAAGGAUUGCAUAUGUACCUAAGUAGUCUCAUCCUCACAAUCUUCCUAAUGAUAAUGUAUCAUUGGAAGAACAUGUUAGAAAAGUCUAUCAUGAAGAGAACAACACAAACAACCAAUGCUUAUUCCUUCGUUAUAUGAACAAAGGAACUUACGAAGAUUAGCAUAAAUGACAAGGACACUUUUAGUGUUAUUAGUUCUUCACUUACAAAUUGUUGUAUGAAGAAAUAAUAGUUGCUUUGAACAACCCUUAGUCAAUGCAAACACUAGUGCUUGUUUCUUUGUUAAAUGAACAAAGAACUUGAGAAGAAAGCACAAAGGCAUGGACACUUUAUGUGCCAUGAUUCUUCACUUACAAAUUGUUGUAUGAAGAAAUGAGAGUUGCCUUGUACAACUCUUGAAGGUUUGUAAUUAUGUUUAGAACAUAAUGGUUGGUUGACAAAAAUAGUCCAUUAACAUAGACUUAUGAUGAUUUUGAAUCAUUAAGUGUUGAAGUGAUAAACCACUUAAUGAGACGGAAACUAGGCAAGGACUUCACCUUUGUUUCCCUAUCCUAAUGGUUCACUAAGUUUAUUGUAAACUAUGUAGUGAACAAUAACCACAAGCUCUCCAAAUUGUUUGAUGUGUAUAACACAAUUGAAAAAGGUUUCAAGAGAGAUAGUGGGAGUUUAGGGACCUUGACUAUGGUAGUCAAAGGAGAAGUCAAAUGAAGAAAGCGAAAUAACCCCAAGGGAACAAACUUUCUUUAUGAAAGGAUGGACAUUGGAAGGGGUAUUUGCAAGAAAUGUCUUGCAAGUGUCAAGAACACACCUUUCGAAGGUGUUGUAAAUUGUUCUUGAAUAGUUCAAAACAGUUGGUUCUUCUACUUGAAUGCGUGAUUUCGUAUUAGUAACUAUGUUUUACAAUCGUUGUAAAAGUGUGACUAAUAAGAAGUAGAAGAUAUAUGAGAGAAGGAAAAGGUGCUUCACAUUCGGAACGUGAAUAAAAUAUAGAUCUCUGCGAAAGCAGAUAGUACUUACUUCCUCAUAUGAACUACCAAAGAAAUUGGAAAAACAAGAUUGUCUUUACAUUCCAAUUUUAAGGAAUUUAAUUCCGUCACUAUAGUAGAGAUGGAUGAAUGUUUUGUUUGACAAAACAUUGUUCUUUAUUAAUCAAUGAUUGGAUUAUAGUAAUCUAAUUGAUUGUCUCUAUAGUAGAGAUGAUAUGGUAGUGUUAACUGUUUAGAAUACAACGAUGCUUAAAACCCAAAAGGUUGCAAGGUAGUGACUAAUCCCAACUAAAGUUGUGAUACCUCUAAAACAUAAAUUACGAGUUGGUCAUAGAUGGACGCUUUGGAUUGUUAGAUCCGGAUCCAAUACCUUCUUGUUAAAAUUGUAUAGAGGCAAAAUGUUUGAAUCUUCAUUCUUUUGGAAAGAAUAAAGAAUCACAAAG